AAGUAGAACGCUUGAGCUUGGUGCUUGCACCGAGCGGGAUGAGUUGCGAACGGGUGAGUAACGCGUAGGUAACCUGCUUGGUAGCGGGGGAUAACUAUUGGAAACGAUAGCUUAAUACCGCAUAAAAUGGAUUAUCGCAUGAUAAUCGAUUGAAAGGUGCAAAUGCAUCACUACCAGAUGGACCUGCGUUGUAUUAGCUAGUUGGUGGGGUAACGGCUCACCAAGGCGACGAUACAUAGCCGACCUGAGAGGGUGAUCGGCCACACUGGGACUGAGACACGGCCCAGACUCCUACGGGAGGCAGCAGUAGGGAAUCUUCGGCAAUGGACGGAAGUCUGACCGAGCAACGCCGCGUGAGUGAAGAAGGUUUUCGGAUCGUAAAGCUCAUGUUG
rnacentral:rRNA from 1 species